GCGCAUCUCCAUCUGAUCUUGGACUCUCUUCUCCUUGUGUCUCUCCUUGAUCAUGACUUCCUGAAUCACUUUGCUGUUGUUGUUGCACUCCUGAUUCAGCUUCACUUCCCCCCUCAUGAUCAAGAGGGGACAUCCUUUCACUUUCCUCCUCAUGAGUACUUGUGCUUCUUGGUGGUUCUCUUCUUGUUCCCUGAUCCUGGGUCAUGCUAAUCCCAAGAUUCUCCAAUAUUUUCCUCAGAUUUGUUGCCUUAUCUGAUGGCGUUUGUGGAAGAUCCUUCAAAUCUUCCCAUAUCUUUUCUUCAUAAUACCCUUUUCCUUCAAUGAAUUUGACAUCUCUAGACACCAACACCCUCCCUGUUAUUGGAUCAUAGCAC
rnacentral:lncRNA from 1 species